UACGGGGGGGGCAAGCGUUGUUCGGAAUUACUGGGCGUAAAGGGUUCGUAGGUGGCUUGCUAAGUCAGACGUGAAAUCCCUCAGCUUAACUGGGGAACUGCGUCUGAUACUGGCGAGCUUGAGUGCAGGAGAGGAACGCGGAAUUCCAGGUGUAGCGGUGAAAUGCGUAGAGAUCCGGAAGAACACCGGUGGCGAAGGCGGUCUGCUGGGCAGUUGCUGACACUGAGGCGCGACAGCGUGGGGAGCAAACAGG
rnacentral:rRNA from 1 species